rnacentral:rRNA from 1 species
GAUGAACGCUGGCGGCGUGCCUAAUACAUGCAAGUCGAGCGAACAGACGGGGAGCUUGUUCCCCUGACGUUAGCGGCGGACGGGUGAGUAACACGUGGAUCACCUACUUAUAAUACUGGGAUAACUUCGGGGAACCGGUGCUAAUACUAGAUCAUACAUCGUACCGCAUGGAUCAAUAGUUAAAGACGGCUUUGCCGUCACUAAUAGAUGGAUCCGCGUCGGAUUAGCUAGUUGGUAAGGUAACGGCUUACCAAGGCGACGAUGCGUAGCCGAGCUGAGAGGAUGAUCAGCCACACUGGAACUGAGACACGGUCCAGACUCCUACGGGAGGCAGCAGUAGGGAAUAUUGCACAAUGGGCGAAAGCUUGACGGAGCAACGCCGCGUGAGUGAAGAAGGUCUUCGGGUCGUAAAGCUCUGUUAUUAGGGAAGAAAAGAUGUGUAAGUAACUAUGCACGUCUUGACGGUACCUAAUCAAUAAGCAACGGCUAACUACGUG